UUUUCAUCAAUAAACCAACAGCUACUGCCAUCUAGUGGACAUGUUUGAUAUUUUUUUUUACAUGAAAACAGGGUCUACUGAAGCCUAUAUGAGUUGUGCAUAACAUGCUUUUUUAUUAUUUAUCUUAUAAGUAAUUAUUUUAUUUUUCUAUUAAUUUUAAUGAUUAAUUAUAAUUAUAAAUAUGCAUUUAAAUACCUUAUAUGUACAGCCCUGUUUUAUGAAUAAUAUGACGUUACACAGAAAAAGAUACAGAAUUAAAAAAAGUGAGACGUAAAUACAGGCCAAGAUAUACCAAAUAUGACCAAGAUUGGUGAUAAAAAUGAGAAAACAUUCAGCCCUGAUAAAGACUCUGCAUUUCUGAACUUCAGUCAGUAGAUGUCACUGUUGUGUUUACUAAUCCGAUGGACUCCUCGAAGAAAUGGCUUCUCUCUGAAAAAAAUGUUGAACUGAAAUAGUUUAUCAGCGUUUUAUUGUACAGCAUCUUCACAAACAACAGAAUGCAACGCAACUGACAUAUUGAGGCAUUUCUGGGCAGUGGAGUGUUAAACGGCCCCGGCAAGAGUGGCUCCCCCCACACGCGCUCGCUGCCAGACAGACCAAAUUCUACUUUAACUCCAGGAAAGAUGAAAUGCUGCCUCUCAUGAGGGUUGCUGUCUAUCCGGCAUCUCGUCGACAUUUAUGGAAGAAGAACUCGCCGUUGUGCGGUUUCCGCACGACUGACAAGCUCUGAAAAACGCAACGUGUGUCAGAGCAUCAUGCCAGCGGCUUUAAAGUUCCAUCAGGGAUCCCUGCAGAACCUCUGCCAGGCCGGCUAAUCUGUAAUCAUUCAUGGCUGACUUAUACAAACUGCUCGUGCUGGUGCUCAUUUCUGGCACUCAACAGCAACCGGCGGACGCGUUCUCCAUCUCCCCGCAGUAAACAAACGGCGCGUGGAAAGGUUACCCCACAAGCGUGAGCAGCCAGAUCUCCAAAGGAAACGGGGUAUUAAGCAUGUUGGAGCUUUUCAAGUCCAAAAAGGUGAUUUGGGUUCCGAACUGGAUGACUUUUUGUUUUACUUGUUUGUGUUUUUGAAGCUCUGACUGCUCCACAUGGAGACUGGCUUUUCUGUCGACCCCUGCGUAAGCACAGUAAUACGGCCCCCUGAAGUGAAGCCUGCAUUAGUUCUGAGUGCUUUGGAGCACCUCAGUUUCAUAUAAAUAAAGGCGUUUAUCU